GACGAACGCUGGCGGCGUGCUUAACACAUGCAAGUCGAACGGAAAGGCCCUGCUUUUGUGGGGUGCUCGAGUGGCGAACGGGUGAGUAACACGUGAGUAACCUGCCCUUGACUUUGGGAUAACUUCAGGAAACUGGGGCUAAUACCGGAUAGGAGCUCCUGCUGCAUGGUGGGGGUUGGAAAGUUUCGGCGGUUGGGGAUGGACUCGCGGCUUAUCAGCUUGUUGGUGGGGUAGUGGCUUACCAAGGCUUUGACGGGUAGCCGGCCUGGGAGGGUGACCGGCCACAUUGGGACUGCGAUACGGCCCAGACUCCUACGGGAGGCAGCAGUGGAGAAUAUUGCACAAUGGGCGGAAGCCUGAUGCAGCAACGCCGCGUGCGGGAUGACGGCCUUCGGGUUGUAAACCGCUUUCGCCUGUGACGAAGCGUGAGUGACGGUAAUGGGUAAAGAAGCACCGGCUAACUACGUG
rnacentral:rRNA from 1 species